rnacentral:lncRNA from 1 species
CACAAGAUAAGCUUCUGGCAGACCUGAUGGUAGACUCUUCAUACGUUUUCUAGUCUAGUGGUGUUUUAAUGUUUCUUGCCUCAAGAGUUACUUCCUUGUAAUCUGAUCCUCCUCUCAUACUGCUGCAACAUUAUUUCCUGCAUGAAUGCUUACGUUAUGGGGCUGAAGGAAGUACAGAGAGAAAGACCACCUCUCCAAUGCCUCCCCAUGUAGACUAGAUUUCCUGCCAUAACGAUAUGAAAAAGGAGAAUUUGAAACCCUGGGAUGUGACAGUAAAAAGAAUGAUGAUGGAAAAAUGGAGGUGGGAUGAGAAAACAGAAAAAAAAAAUUGGAGUUUCUGGGCAAGGAAAUAGAAAUUGGCCUGACAAAGAGACAUUUUUACUGAUGGUCCAGCAGAAAGACAACACACAGCACAGCAAUAUAGAGGGACCCCAGCUACUCCCUCCAUUCAAAAUCUACUGUGAAACUCUCACUGAAGGCAAUAAGGGAAGAUUUAGACCUUCUAAUUCAAUUAUAAUUAACCCAGACUCAGGCUUCUCUUUCAUGAUAUAUCUGGAAGCGAAAAUGGUACAAGUGAGUAAGCAGACAAGCACAUGGCCAGGAUUGUUAUAG